rnacentral:rRNA from 1 species
GACGAACGCUGGCGGCGUGCCUAAUACAUGCAAGUCGAGCGAACCAAUAGGAGCUUGUUCCUGUUGGUUAGCGGCGGACGGGUGAGUAACACGUGGGCAACCUGCCUGUAAGACUGGGAUAACACCGGGAAACCGGUGCUAAUACCGGAUAAUCUUUUUCCUCUCAUGAGGAAAAACUGAAAGUCGGUUUCGGCUGACACUUACAGAUGGGCCCGCGGCGCAUUAGCUAGUUGGUGAGGUAACGGCUCACCAAGGCGACGAUGCGUAGCCGACCUGAGAGGGUGAUCGGCCACACUGGGACUGAGACACGGCCCAGACUCCUACGGGAGGCAGCAGUAGGGAAUCUUCCACAAUGGACGAAAGUCUGAUGGAGCAACGCCGCGUGAGCGAUGAAGGCCUUCGGGUCGUAAAGCUCUGUUGUUAGGGAAGAACAAGUACCGGAGUAACUGCCGGUGCCUUGACGGUACCUAACCAGAAAGCCACGGCUAACUACGUGCCAGCCGCCGCAGUAA